CUAAGCAGAGGCAAUUGCAGCGGUGGAAAAAGAUGGCAUGGACAGCCAAAUUUCUGCUUCCGAUUAGACAAUCAAUUUCUCAAUCCCGGCAACUAUUUCAUGGAAAAUUUGGACCUUUGAGAACAUGGGCAGAGAGUAUGGAACCUACACUACAAAACAGGGUCUCAAAGUUUGAGUAUAAACUAAAUAUACACAGAAAAUAUGUUCAAGAUUUUUGCUUACCAGGAAAUAGAAAUGCCAGAAGCAUUUUUGGUGUAUCAGUUGUAUUUGGAGUUGUCUACUGUUGGCCACGUUUUACAUAUGCGAUGGAUGGUCUCGACAUUUUGGUAGAUGAUUAUCAUAUAGAGUCAUUUGAUGCUUCAGAAGGAGAAGAUGAUCGUCACAAACUCUGGAUGUUAAUGAAAAAAUUAUGGCUGCCUGUUUUUUUCGUAUUUACUAUCUUGGUGAACUGGGAUAAUCCCUCCGCAGUUGCAAUUAGAGUCCUUCUUUUUCUCCUCAGCACCAAACCAAGCCCUUCAUCAAUUUAUCUUUUUGUUGAAAGGGUUAGAAAAUCCUUUCUUUGACUUAGUUGCUUGGAUCUAGCACUUAAAUGUUAGCAGUAAGCCUAAUGAGGAGAUUUAAUUUAUUAAGCUUGAAGAGUAUUGCAUUGUGAGCAUACUGCUGGGAAUGAUUGUAAUACAAUCUGCAUCCUGGUGUCAGCGUGUCUGGCUCCAUAGGCUGAAGAUGGAUGUCAGAUUUAUAAAUGCUUUAUAUACUUAUUUUGAGCAUAUGUGAAAGUGAAAAUUAUAACUAAUACAACUUUGCUAUAUGUUGAUAAAUAUGUGUGAUGAUCAUCAUCACCAGCAGUCCAGAUCGCCUUCAUUUUUUAAAUGAGUUGGUACAACUACGAGGAUGAUAGUAUUAGCGAUUGAUUGAAGAGCAAUAAAGACCAAUAGGGUUAACAUUGUGGCCAAUGAAUCAGGCAUGACUCCAAAUUGAGUAGUUGAGUGGAUGAUGCUAUAAUCCCUUUUUGCAAGGAAAGCCCACCCCAACCCAGCACUUUACAACUUUGCUUGAUGCCUAAGUUAUGUCACGGAUAUAUGCACCACAAACCUCAUUUUUACAUAUAUAAGUCACUGCAUGCCAGCAACGUUGAAGUCCAAGAUUAUAAGCUUCUCUGCAUUGCUAAAGUUGAAAUUGGGGACCAGAAGUUACGUGUAAUUGGGAUUCUUGGUGGUUGGUGGACGUUGCCAUCAUCACUGGGUAUAUAUUUCCUUGAUCAGGAGCAGUGCUCUAGUUCACCACAGAGAUAACAAGGUAAAUUGAAGUUCAACUCAAAGUAGCCACUAUUUAAGGUAGGAUUCCUAAUGUUUAGCUUCAAGCACUAUUGUUUAUUAAAAGGCAUUCUUUUACCUGUGUUCUUUGCUUACAAUCUAUUUGAAGAACCCUUUGUCCUUUACAUUGUUAA